rnacentral:rRNA from 1 species
UACGUAGGCAGCGAGCGUUGUUCGGAAUUACUGGGCGUAAAGAGUGUGUAGGCGGUGCUGUAAGUUCGGUGUGAAAUCUCCCGGCUUAACUGGGAGGGUGCGCCGGAAACUGGAGUGCUCGAGCGUGGGAGAGGAGAGCGGAAUUUCUGGUGUAGCGGUGAAAUGCGUAGAUAUCAGGAGGAACACCUGCGGUGUAGACGGCUUUCUGGACCAUAGCUGACGCUGAGACACGAAAGCGUGGGUAGCAAACAGG